ensembl:lncRNA
CCUCAACCAAAACAGUGAUUCCCAUGAUCACCAUGGCUAUUUACAGAGCAGAGCUAUUCCCCCGCCUUCUUCAUAGAAAGCAGGGAAGCAUUUGGCAGGGUGCAUGCAGACAGAAUUCCCUCAACACCAGCUUGGAGCCUGAACAUCGCUGUGCUCAAACUAAUUGGAUUACCCUGACAGUAAUGCACUACCAAGCUUCACACAUGCCACCUAAUAAAUUGCACCAAUAUCAGUUGAGGGUGGAGAUUAAAACAGAUUAUACAGAGAAUGAAAUGAAAUAGAAAAAAGCGGUUAAAUGAGUUCAUUCCUCUAACUCUACAUGCUGACAGACUGUAUGGAUGAUGGUUUCACUCUGCUCCGUGCAGUGCGUUCUUCACAUUAUGGUUGACCUUUUUCCACAAUGUUCUCUCUCAUCUUCUCUAUGUGACCUUCCUUUGAUCUCGUCAGAGCUCUUGCUUUUUCUUUCAGUUCCAGUCAGAACUCAUACAUCUGCUGAAUGAUUUAUUUAUGGCACCACUCCUCAACCGCCUCUCUUUUUUUCUGUUUCAGACAUACACCUUUGCUUUUGCUUUAUUUGUUUCUAUCUGUGUCAAUACCAACAGUUGGUUUUUGUUGUUGUUUUUAUUAGUUC